UGCUGUGCUGCAGCUUGGCUGCGGGCUGAGGGUGGGGGGGUGUGCGCUGAGGGGCAGGCAGUCCCAGAGCUGGCCACAAGGUGGGAUGGUCAUUCUAAUUCCUGAGGCAUUUUGAAUGGCACUUGCCAGCCGCACGAGAAGCUCCUUAAGCCGGAAGGUAAACAACUCAAAAUAGCUGAAACCCACCAGAUUCCCUGGGCCCCUCCCUGCCAGAGUAAGCAAUAAAGGCGGAGUGUUCUCUCAGAAGAGCGGAGCAAACUCCAAAGAAGACCUGGGACCAGACCAGCUGCCCGGAAGAAGCAGAAACCAGCGGAGCUGCCUGGAAGAGGUUCAGACCAAUUAACUGAGGCACGUGGGAAGGACCCUCUCCAUUCUGUUGAGCUGCCCGUAGGCUGUGCAGUCAGCUCCAGGUUCCCAGCUCUGUGAGCUGUCACCGGUGCUGGGGAGGGCUCUGGUGAUGCAGCUGCCUUUGAGACAUUUCUGCUCCUGCUGAGUUUAAAAAGAUAGAAACUUUCAAGAACAUUCGAGGAGAACAGCAGUGCCGUGUGGAAGUCUGGGAACAGAUGGGUGAGUGGCGACUGCUUCAGCAGAUUUGAGAGGGCUGAAUCCCCAGCCGGUGGCUGAGAAAAUGGAAAAUCAACCUAAUGUACACAGUCGAGCUCUCAAAACAUGCAGGAGUGGGUGGUAGCAGGUACCAUGGAGGCCAGGAAAGAGCGUUGGACCCCCAGAACUGGAGUUUCAGGCUGUUGUGAGCUGUCUGAUGUGGGUUCUGGGAACCAAACUGGGUCUUCUGGAAGAGCAGAAAGCACUCUUAACUGCUGAGCCAGGGAUCAGCCUGCGCUCCAUUGUUCUUCUGAAUGAGGCACCAAACAGGUCUUCUAGCAUGUGAUUCUGGUACUUUCUAAAAACGACCCCUCCCACCCAAGCAGUGCAGCAGCAAAUGGGGUGGUUGAAACUGGGCAGCCUGAAGGGGUUUGCAAGGCUUGAAAAAGAGCUCGUCUCCUCCACAGCCUGCUUCCGUGUUUGUUUUAAAACCAGCACAGGUUAGUGUGGCAGCUGCACGGGCUCUCACUCCGCCGCCGCUGCAGGAGUGUGAAUUACCACAGCUUUUCCCAGGGACAAUCUGGCACAUCUCAAGAAGAGCCUCCUGCUUCUGUACAGCCUUUUAAUGGGGCUGUUCUACAACAGGGAUUUCUUCUGAGGAAAUGACCCUGUGUGUCUAAAAAUAGAGCUGUAAAGUCCAUCACAGCAGAGCUUUGAACAAUAAGCAUUGAAAAUAAUGUAAAGGGGUGAGUGAGAUAAAUCACGGUGCGUUUCUGUAAUGGGAUGUUGUGUUUCUGGGGAAUAUUAAGUAAAGAAAUUAUUAUGCUGUCAUGAGGGAAAAAACUGAUAUAAAGUGAUACAUAUAUAAUCAAUGUGAUCCAUUUUGUAUUCAAAAUACGUAUUUGCUAAU